rnacentral:lncRNA from 1 species
CCUGGACCAGGGCUGGAGAAGACACUGGAGGGAAGCCUCCCAGCAGGAUUUCUACCUUCAGACUCAUCCCUUGAGAAGAAGAUCCACCCUUGUUUUCUGUAUGGGCUCUACAGAGAAGUGGUGGCACUGGUGGAGAUGGCAAUGGAGAUCUGCUGGUCGUGCCUCCAAAUACCAUCAGGGCUUGAAGAUCCACGCUGUGAUCAUCAGAUCAUCUGAGAAGCAAAAGCAAUGGAGAUAGAGGCUGGUCCAAACAGACUUCUGCUGCCAUAGACGCUGAAGUCCUUGAAAAGAGAGGAACUUGGGGUGUCACUGCCUGUAGGUGCCCCAGGUUUAUAGAAGACAUUGCAAAUUGGGGCACAUCCAUCUCGUGGCGGCUUCUCCCUGAUCCUGGGGUCAUGUGCAAGGAAACAGGGCUCAGGUCUCCUUUGCAGAGGAGCCCUGGGCUCUCUCCGAGGGCUUCUGCUUGGCUUCCGUGGGGACGUGGCGUCAUUGGGAGCUCCUGCCAAGUGGCAUCGGUGCCGUGACUCCAGCUCCGUUGCCGAGGCCACCGAGCCAGCUCCGGAGGGGAGCCGGGCACGGCAGAAGGAGCAGGGAAAGCCAAAAAGCUGCUCGCCCAAGCCCAGGCGUGC